AUACAUCUUAUCCUCACGGCAUCACACAGUCCUCUAACUCUCUCAGCUCGAGCCUGAUCCCGUCCCUGCCGCUUCCCGUCCAUAGACGGCGUCGCCGCAUUCUUGUCUCCCCUCCACGGCGUCGGCCGGCCCCUCCUCUCCCAGCCAUCUCUCCUCCAUGUCGCGCGCCGAGCCCGUCCUCCCUUCCCUCGAUGGCUUCGUCCGCAUCCUCCUCCGACUGCCACGGUGGCUCGAUUGGUUCGAUCCACCGCCAUCCACGCCCGACAGGUUAUUCCGACGAUGGGGCGGCGGCGAAGCUUAGCGCGAUGACAGAGCCUUCCUCCAGCUCUACCAAGAAACCCUCGCUCUCCGUCCGUCUUCCUCCCUUUGCCAGCACCACCUAGCGUCGCCAUGGUCGGUGGCCGCGACCACCAACAAGAGGAAUCGCGAGGCGGCGGCGGCGGCACCAAGGGGAAGCCGCAGCCAGUCACUGCCAAGGAAAAGCGGGUCACAGCUAAGGAAGUGUCGGAGUCGAGGAAGCCCGACUACAACCUUAAGAAAGACAUCGAAGUACUAUGGGGAAAGAUGAUAGGUCGUCAUUUGAGCAAGGAGGAUAUAAUCAAGCUAGUUACCGAGGCCCUCCGUAAAAUGGAUUGGAAAUAUUUGGAAUUUCUGGAUCCCAUACAUGUGUGUAGUGGUUCUCACACUCAAGAGAGUGGCAAGGUUAGGACGCAUAUUAUCAGAAUCUUGAAGAAGCAGAUUAUGAAGCUUGAUGUCAGUGAUUAUGGAUGCCUUGUUCUAUUUGAAGAGCUGACAAAGCAGUUAAAGGAAAUCAUAUUGAUAAGCUUAAACAGGUCCAUCUUUGACCAAGUAUAGGACGGGCAGAUGUCGCGAAAGGAAUACUCAUGGUUUCUGAAGACUGACCAUGCUCCCUCGAGUACUACGCAGCAACAAACUCAGUAAAAAGAGGGCUCAGACAUGGCGACAAGAAUGAAGGUGGAGGGAAAGGAGUGGAGAGAAAGUAUUCUGGAGGUCAGGAUGGCAAACCUAGGGAGUUCGGGCAUAUGACGUCCAAAUGAGGUUGAUUUGAAUCCCCGGGUAUGUGGUUAUGCAUGAGCUGUGGAAGCAAAGGUGUGUGUCGGCUGGUUAUGCAUGAGCUGUGGAAGCAAAGGUGUGUGUCGGCUGGAGCUGAUUUACGGGGCUGUCAUUUGGAUGGUACCAAACUGUAAUAAUACAGACUCCCACUCAAAAUUUCACUGCACCAAAGGCUCUCGUCAGGAUGGCAAACCUAGGGAGUUCAGGCACCAUGAAACAUAACUUCCUUUGCCAUCGGAGAGAAAGAAGACGGUAGGCGCGCUCAGGAGAUGACGCAGCAACAACCGUCGAGCGGAGGUUGUGUUUGGAGGCGACCAGCAGAGGCUGCAGCUCCCACAGCUCGCGUGCGAACGAUGUGGCCGGACGACGAUUGAAGCGGCGUUUCUGUUUUGGCGGCGUGCUUUCGCGUGUGGAUGGAGCUCGUACGCCAGGAAGAACUGGCGUCUUGAUGGAGCUCGUACGCCAGGAAGAACUGGCGUUCGUUGGCGGGUCGAAGAAGUUUGAUUUUUGGUCGAUGGACCUCGUCCUCGUUCGUGGGUUGCGGAGCUGUUUUUUUGUUGACUGGGCGCGAUCGUGGGGUUCCAUGGACUUAUCGUUCGUGUGUUGAACUGUGGAUCUCGUACGUGGGCUGAGUUGUUGUAUUUUUUUUUGCGGGCGCUGAGUUGGUGUUUUUUCGUACGUGGGCUAUGUUGGUGGGCUGCUGCGUGCGUGUGGGAGUUCGAAGGGAGGGGGAUCGAACGAGGUCGAACCAUCACGACGUUCGAUCCCCCUUUAAUAGUAGAGAUUCUCAAUGGGCAUACCUGCUGUUAUCUUGCCAAAGCCCAAGUUUAUACAAUUUGCUUCUCUAACUACAAUGUCAGUACAUUAUGCUAGGUCAGGAUGGCAAACCUAGGGAGUUCAGGCACCAUGAAACAUAACUUCCUUUGCCAUCGGAGAGAAAGAAGACGGUAGGCGCGCUCAGGAGAUGACGCAGCAACAACCGUCGAGCGGAGGUUGUGUUUGGAGGCGACCAGCAGAGGCUGCAGCUCCCACAGCUCGCGUGCGAACGAUGUGGCCGGACGACGAUUGAAGCGGCGUUUCUGUUUUGGCGGCGUGCUUUCACGUGUGGAUGGAGCUCGUACGCCAGGAAGAACUGGCGUCUUGAUGGAGCUCGUACGCCAGGAAGAACUGGCGUUCGUUGGCGGGUCGAAGAAGUUUGAUUUUUGGUCGAUGGACCUCGUCCUCGUUCGUGGGUUGCGGAGCUGUUUUUUUGUUGACUGGGCGCGAUCGUGGGGUUCCAUGGACUUAUCGUUCGUGUGUUGAACUGUGGAUCUCGUACGUGGGCUGAGUUGUUGUAUUUUUUUUUGCGGGCGCUGAGUUGGUGUUUUUUCGUACGUGGGCUAUGUUGGUGGGCUGCUGCGUGCGUGUGGGAGUUCGAAGGGAGGGGGAUCGAACGAGGUCGAACCAUCACGACGUUCGGUCCCGCUUUAAUAGUAGAGAUUCGGAACUCCCUGUCACGGACCCGGAGACCGUUGACCCGAAGUCGUGAAGCAUUGAUAAACACCAACUCGGCACGGCGCAGCCAUUUCCCCCGAAUUUCCCCCGUCAUCCCCGGCCACUUCCUCAGAGCCCGCGACGCGCUCACGCAAUGCGUUUAUAGGCAGCCGGCCGCGGCAUUCAUUACUGGCGCCGUCCGAGUCAGCGGCGAUGGAGGCGCACAGGCGGUGGGACACGUCGGGGAGCGGGUCGCGGUACAGCUUCAGGACGUCGGUGAGCAGCCUCGCGGACAUCGGCGGCGAGAUUGUGGAGGUGGACCAGGCCGGCGGCGAGCUGGAGGCCGCGGACAGGGUGUUCGUGGCCGUCCCCGGGGAGGUGAAGCACGGGAAGAGCGCCCUGCAGUGGGCGCUGCAGAACCUGGCCAAGGACGGCGCGCAGGUCGUGGUGGCUCACGUCCACCGCCCCGCGCAGAUGAUCCCCAUGAUGGGAGCAAAAAUGCACCAUACCAGGCUGGAUCCAGAACAGGUCAAGGACUACAGAAAGCAGGAGCUAGAAAAGGCAUUGGAAAGGCUAGAAGAAUAUGUUGUGCUAUGCACAAUGCUAAAGGACAGCUGUGAGAAGAUAAUAAUUGAGAAAGAUGAUGUUGCUAAAGGACUUGAGGAGCUUAUUGUUCUUCAUGGCAUCACCAAACUUGUCAUGGGAGCAGCUGCAGACAAACAUUACUCAAAGAAAAUGAAAAGACCAAAGUCCAAGACAGCAAUCAUACUAAUGGAGGCAGAAGCAUCACCAUGUAAGAUAUGGUUUACUACUUGUAAAGGGCAACUGAUAUGUACCAGGGAAGCAAACACAACCGUUCCUAUGAUACCACCAUCACCUGCAUCGACAGUUGCAUCAACAUUAUCAGCAAGCAGCCUUUCCAGCCACAUGAGAUCAAUUACAAUCCACCAGUCAGAGAGCGAAGCACCAAGCUCAAACGGAAGUCCACAGCAGAAUCUGAACAGAUCGAGAACAGAAGUGAUGCGGCAUCACUCUCGAGGAGCUGGCGGUACAGCACCUCAGCUAUUUGAACCUUUUGAGCUCAAUGUGAAUACCAGGCCAACAAGAACACCAUUGAGUUCUAUGGAUUCCUGGGGUGAAUUUGGGAGGAGAUCACAAAGCUCCUGGUACAAUCUAUCAAGGAACGAUGAUGCAAUCAGUGUCUCCGAAUCAGCAACACAUCAUCCAAUGCAUGAGUCUGACGAUGACCACUUUUCAUCUCCUUUUCAUGAGCUCGAGAAUCCAGGUGCUGAUGCGGAAAUGUACGGUAGACUUGAGGAGGCUCUCCGCGAAACUCAAGAAUCAAAGAAAGAGGUGUUCGAAGAAUCAACCAAGCGCCGAAAAGCCGAACUUGAUCUGCUUUCAGCUCUUCAAAAGGCCAAGGAGUUGGAGAAGUUGUAUCAUCACGAGAUAAGACAGAGAAAAACAAUCGAGGAGACACUCGUGAGACAGGCGCAGGAGCUCGAAGCAACGGAAAUUCAGUGUGACACGAUAUACGACCAACUACAUGAUGCAGAAGAACAGAAGGCCGUGUUGGAGCAGCGCAUGACCGAGAUGGAGUCUGCUCUUAGAGAUGGCGAGGAGAAGCUGGCCUCAAGCAAGUGCCUUCUCGAAGCGCUCCAAGCAGACAAAGAGAAGCUGCAACAAGAGAGCGAUGCCGCGGCAGCCGCAGCUGAAGAGUUGCGCCAGAAGAGCGAGCAGAGAAUUUCUAUGGCGACUGAAGCAUUGAACACCAAGUUCUCCGCCGUUGAGCUCGAGCAGGCAACUCGGAGCUUUGACGAAGCACUCAAGAUCGGUGAGGGCGGGUUCGGGUGUGUCUACAAAGGCUCACUUCGCAGCACAACCGUGGCUAUAAAGCUGUUGCACCCGAAAAGCUUGCAGGGCCAGUCAGAAUUCAACCAAGAGGUUGCUGUCCUCGGCAGAGUAAGGCACCCGAACCUCGUCGCGCUGAUAGGGUCAUGCCGGGAGGCGUUCGGCCUGGUGUACGAGUACCUCCCGAACGGCAGCCUCGAGGACCGGCUCGCGUGCGCCAACGACACGCCGCCGUUGACAUGGCAGGUGCGCACCAGGAUCAUCUAUGAGAUGUGCUCGGCCCUGACGUUCCUGCACUCGAACAAGCCGCACCCGGUGGUCCACGGCGACCUGAAGCCGGCCAACAUCCUCCUGGACGCCAACCUGGUGAGCAAGCUGGGGGACUUCGGCAUCUGCCGCCUGCUGACGCAGUCCGGCACCUCCACCGCCGCCACCACGCUGUACCGGACGACCACCCCGAGGGGGACCUUCGCGUACAUGGACCCGGAGUUCCUGUCUAGCGGCGAGCUGACGCCACGCUCCGACGUCUACUCCUUGGGCAUCAUCAUCCUGCAGCUCCUGACGGGCAGGCGACCCCAGAAGAUCGCCGAGGUGGUGGAGGACGCGGUGGAGAAGGGGGAGCUGCACACCGUCCUCGACCCCUCUGCGGGGGCCUGGCCGUUUGUGCAGGCCAACCAGCUCGCGCACCUCGGCCUGCGGUGUGCCGAGAUGAGCAGGAGGCGCCGCCCGGACCUUGCCCGGGAGGUUUGGACCGUGGUCGAGCCCCUGAUGAAGGCCGCCUCGCUGACUGCCCGGCGGCCGAUGUUCGCUGCCUCUCCCACUUUGCCGGACGAGGCUUCCACGCCGUCCUACUUCGUCUGCCCGAUCUUCCAGGAGAUGAUGAAUGACCCGCACAUCGCGGCCGACGGGUUCACGUACGAAGCAGAGGCGAUCAGAGGGUGGCUGGACAGCGGGCACGACACGUCGCCGAUGACGAACCUGAAGCUCGCGCACCGCGAGCUCACCCCCAACAGGGGGCUCCGCUCGGUGAUUCUCGAGUGGCAACAACAGCAUCGGCAGCGGUACCAGUACCAUGAGGACUGGAGAUGACCAAUCCUUGAACACGCACGAAAUCCUGUAAAUCAUGUACUACGUACAUAAAAGUUUGAAUCCAACAAAAUUACCGUUAGGCACAAAGAGCGGGGAGCGUCUCGUUCUGUAAUCUUUUUCCUUUUUCUUCUUUCUUUUUGGUCUGUGACGACCUCCCGAUUGUAAAUUUGUAACGGCGUCUCCGAAGGGCAGCGCCUAAUUCAGUUCAUAUGUAUAUAGACGUGUUUUAUGAUGUUUGUUCACUCAUUUCGGUUCAUAUGUGGUCUAUAUUGAAAUAUCCAAAACAUCUUGC
rnacentral:rRNA from 1 species